rnacentral:misc_RNA from 1 species
UCAAACUUGGUCAUUUAGAGGAAGUAAAAGUCGUAACAAGGUUUCCGUAGGUGAACCUGCGGAAGGAUCAUUACAAAAAAGAACUAUAGUUCGUGAAGGGGGUCAAAUCCUGGAUCUGCUAUAACUCCUUUUAUAACCCUGCUUAAUUGACCUCAUGUUGCUUCGGUAGAUCAAAGAUGUUUCAUCUUGACUGGCCCUUCUCAGGUCUGGUUAGUGUCUAUCGACAGCCCCCUUUAAAAACUUCUGUAUAAAUUUUGUCUGAAUUUAAAGGUUUUAUACCUUUUAACUGUUUAUUUUUUAAACAAAAAUACAACUUUCAACAAUGGAUCUCUUGGCUCUGGCAUCGAUGAAGAACGCAGC